GCCUUAGCUUUCCCCUUCCUGCCUAGAAAUCUGCCUCUGAGAAAGGGACAGGAAGGGAUCCCUGAACAGGGGGAUCCCAUUUCCCCACCCACUUCUUUCCGGGAAGCGGAAUCCCCUCCCCCUUAGGUGCUCUGACAAGACGCUGGGGGCUCCAGACGGAUGACUCUUCUUUCUACCAAGUCCAGCCAUUGGAGAGAAAAGUUACCUGCUUAAGCACAGACUGAACUGGCAAGGGGGUCGUCUUGCCCAUCUCAAAAGUUUGACUUCGGGGCCCCCCUUCCUCCCUGCAGAGAAGGAACCUAUCACGGAGAGACUCUGAUACACCAGUCUGAGCUCAUCUCCAUUGAAACAGAAAAAUACAGAGACGUUGUCCUGGACCAAUUGAGAGGUCUGUACUUCCACUUUUCUGUGAGACUGUAUCUUUGUGUGUCUCAUUUCAGUGUGUAGGAACAUAGAAAGAGCCUUUCCAGAUUUGUAGGAUAUUAAGGAAUAUUGUUACAGUGGUACCUCUGUUUAAGUACACAAUUGGUUCCAGAAGUCUGUACUUAACCUGAAGCGAACUUUCCCAUUGAAAGUAAUGGAAAGUUGAUUGAUCUGUUCCAGACAGGUCCAUGGAGUACUUAAGCUGAAAGUACUCCAACCGAAGCAUACUUAAACCGAGGUAUGACUGUAUUUCCCUCUUAAUUCACUGACUACUUGGGUCCAAUACUAUUUCCCCAAACUGGCCUCUUAGCAAAGUUCACACACGCAUCAGCAUUCAGAGCGCAGGAAACUGAAGCAUGAAGAAGAGGUAGAAAUCCACAUGACAUUCCAGGCUUCAAGUAGAAUGGUUUACUACUGUCAAAUUACAUCUGAAUGCUUGAAAAUCUUUCGCUCUCAAUCCUGAAACACUCACAAUCCAGGUGGAAAGUGUGAGUCAUUAAAGUCGCAGUGCACAGACUCCCCUCUUAAAUUCAGUUUCACUUUUUCAAUUUCCAUAGAAACAGUGCAGGCCAAAUGACUUUAUUUCUUUGACCUCGCAGGUGGUGGGCAACUCCCCAAAACUCUCCUCAUGCAGAUAAUUAACAUAGUUGUUUUCUGAGAACAACUGACCUAGUUUUUAUGCCAGUCCCCAACGCAGGAGGACCCCUCUUUUCCAGCAUCCUAUUCUCAGAGUUACCAGCCCAGGAGAAACUCACCAGCAGGGCCUGAGGGCAAAAGCUCCCUCCCCACCCGUGAUUCCCAUCCCCUGGGAUUCAGAUGAAUAAUACCUCUGAAGGUAGAUGGAGAAGAAUGCAGGUAGCUGGGAAGUAACUGACUGAAAUCAUUUCAGUUAUAGGAAAUUAAGUGAUAAAAGGGAGAGAAAUGGGAAAUGUGCAAAAAAAUACCAUAAUAUUAUUCUCAUACUAUAUAUAUGGUCAUUAGAAACCUGUUAUAUUCUCUAUGAAAAGGGACGCGGGUGGCGCUGUGGUCUAAACCAGUGUUUCUCAACCUUUUUUGGGCCAAGGCACACUUGUUCCAUGAAAAAAAUCACGAGGCACACCACCAUUAAAAAAGUUAAAAAAUUUAACUCUGUGCCACCCUAUAUUGACUAUAUAAUUAUGACUGUAAGAAACACUUGCCAAUUGCUGUGUUGGUUGCAAUCUCCUGUAAUAAGGCUUCACAAGCCGCUGAUUUCUCUGCCAGCACAAUCCUUUGCUCAGCAAGUUUCAGGUUGAGCUCAUCCAGCCAGCUUCUUUAAGUUUGUCUAAAUUUUAGUUUAGUUUGUCUAAAUUUUGCC